rnacentral:lncRNA from 1 species
UCCCAAGUCAGGAGCCUCUGGCCUUUGUUAGUCUUGUAUUAUUUUAAUUUCAGUUUCUUGUGUACAAUUUGGAAAUUAGUAUGGCGUUCAUUAUCACUGAACUAGUAUAUAUUUGUUUAGGGGCCAACUGAAGGACGCCUCCGGGUGCGGGAAUUUCUCGCUACAUUGAAGACCUGUUGGUGACCUUCUGCUGUUGUUUUUUCUAUGGUCGGGUUG